GUUUAUGAUUAUUAGGAUUCGACGAUUAUAGUUUUUACAUUUUGUCGUAUUGUUUGAAAUCUAAACUUGAGGUAUUUGAUUGAAAUUUCUCAGUGGCUAAUGUCCCAUAGCAUUCAUUGAACACAUUUCCCCGUUUCAUAAAUAGAUUUUGAACAAAAUAUUUGUGAGUAAGAGGUAAGAUAUUGAGGCACUUGACCAGUGUUCGAAAUCAAAAAUAAUAGCAGAAUUUUUACGUGCAUAACUGUAUACACAGCAUACCGCAAAUAAAGAUCCUGUUCAGUAAAUUUCUGUAUAUUAAAAGUACGCCUUCCCUUAGGAAUCAUUACUAUAAUCAAAUUCAUGUAAUUCAAAGAAUUUAUGGAACUCCCUAACGAAAUUACUUAUUAGCAUAAAGAAAUACAACAUAGCGGAUAUGAGAUUGUGUGGAGACCGCAAUACAAAUAAAUCGGAAUUUUAAAGCAGAAAAAACGUAAAAUCUGUUCCAGGCUGUGCUACACUGUUGUGCCAGGAUAACUGAGCUGUAGAUUGUUGGCUGUCAUCACUAUUGGAUUUCUGGCACAGAUGGCGUUUGUUGUGUCCGAAGGACUGCUUCAAUAACGGUUCAGUCCGUUGGCCAAGAGCGCAGUCUCUAACUGCUAACCGAUUUAUUACACAAACUGCGGGUGGCUUGGAUAGCAACAACAUUAUCAUUUUUUUUUUUUUUUUUACUCACGGUGUGUCGUUCAUUUUUGUUUAGCCCGUGCUUUUCCCUUACCGUUGGAAGAAAACCAAAAAGAUCGCAUUUCAUAUAUACUGCCAUUAUUUUGUUGUCUUCUCGGUGACAUCUAACUGCCGAACACAGCUUGGAAAACACUACUGUUGGCCUUCGGAGUUCAUCGAGAAAACGACUACAGACUUAUCCAUCGAUCGUACUUUAAAGUUAUUAUUGAAUUAUGUUUUUUUACAUAAACUCUGUUCUAUUUUUUUUUUUCGUGCAUAAAACUAAAAAAAAUUAAAAAUUGGAGUUUAAUUUGAUUAUAUAACUUUUUAAAUUAUUUAUUUUAUGCAUAAUUAGUAAUUAUAAUUAAAGGAACACAUGUGAAUUUUUAAAUUAAUUUUUAUGCGUCAUACAAUUAAUAUAACACCG